ACCUCAACCUGUUGGAGGUGGUGGAGAUGAUGAUGAAGAAUGUGAUGAUUCUGAUUAUGGAAAUAAUUGUAAUA
rnacentral:sRNA from 1 species